rnacentral:rRNA from 1 species
UACGAAGGGGGCUAGCGUUGUUCGGAAUCACUGGGCGUAAAGCGUAUGUAGGCGGCUCGUUAAGUCGGGGGUGAAAUCCCGAGGCUCAACCUCGGAACUGCCUUCGAUACUGGCGAUCUUCGAGUCCGGGAGAGGUGAGUGGAACUCCGAGUGUAGAGGUGAAAUUCGUAGAUAUUCGGAAGAACACCAGUGGCGAAGGCGGCUCACUGGCCCGGUACUGACGCUGAUAUACGAAAGCGUGGGGAGCAAACAGG